GACGAACGCUGGCGGCGUGCCUAAUACAUGCAAGUCGAACGCUUCUUUCCUCCCGAGUGCUUGCACUCAAUUGGAAAGAGGAGUGGCGGACGGGUGAGUAACACGUGGGUAACCUACCCAUCAGAGGGGGAUAACACUUGGAAACAGGUGCUAAUACCGCAUAACAGUUUAUGCCGCAUGGCAUAAGAGUGAAAGGCGCUUUCGGGUGUCGUUGAUGGAUGGACCCGCGGUGCAUUAGCUAGUUGGUGAGGUAACGCCUCACCAAGGCCACGAUGCAUAGCCGACCUGAGAGGGUGAUCGGCCACACUGGGACUGAGACACGGCCCAGACUCCUACGGGAGGCAGCAGUAGGGAAUCUUCGGCAAUGGACGAAAGUCUGACCGAGCAACGCCGCGUGAGUGAAGAAGGUUUUCGGAUCGUAAAACUCUGUUGUUAGAGAAGAACAAGGACGUUAGUAACUGAACGUCCCCUGACGGUAUCUAACCAGAAAGCCACGGCUAACUACGUG
rnacentral:rRNA from 1 species